AGAGUUUGAUCCUGGCUCAGGACGAACGCUGGCGGCACGCUUAACACAUGCAAGUCGAACGAGAGAAGAGAAGCUUGCUUUUCUGAUCUAGUGGCGGACGGGUGAGUAACACGUGAGCAAUCUGCCUUUCAGAGGGGGAUAUCGAUUGGAAACGAUCGUUAAUACCGCAUAACAUAAUUGAACCGCAUGAUUUGAUUAUCAAAGAUUUAUCGCUGAAAGAUGAGCUCGCGUCUGAUUAGCUAGUUGGUAAGGUAACGGCUUACCAAGGCGACGAUCAGUAGCCGGACUGAGAGGUUGAUCGGCCACAUUGGGACUGAGACACGGCCCAGACUCCUACGGGAGGCAGCAGUGGGGAAUAUUGCACAAUGGAGGAAACUCUGAUGCAGCGAUGCCGCGUGAGGGAAGAAGGUUUUAGGAUUGUAAACCUCUGUCUUCAGGGACGAAAAAAGACGGUACCUGAGGAGGAAGCUCCGGCUAACUACGUGCCAGCAGCCGCGGUAAUACGUAGGGAGCGAGCGUUGUCCGGAAUUACUGGGUGUAAAGGGAGCGUAGGCGGGAUCGCAAGUCAGAUGUGAAAACUAUGGGCUUAACCCAUAAACUGCAUUUGAAACUGUGGUUCUUGAGUGAAGUAGAGGUAAGCGGAAUUCCUAGUGUAGCGGUGAAAUGCGUAGAUAUUAGGAGGAACAUCAGUGGCGAAGGCGGCUUACUGGGCUUUAACUGACGCUGAGGCUCGAAAGCGUGGGGAGCAAACAGGAUUAGAUACCCUGGUAGUCCACGCCGUAAACGAUGAUUACUAGGUGUGGGGGGACUGACCCCUUCCGUGCCGCAGCAAACGCAAUAAGUAAUCCACCUGGGGAGUACGACCGCAAGGUUGAAACUCAAAGGAAUUGACGGGGGCCCGCACAAGCAGUGGAGUAUGUGGUUUAAUUCGAAGCAACGCGAAGAACCUUACCAGGUCUUGACAUCGUAUGCAUAGCUCAGAGAUGAGUGAAAUCUCUUCGGAGACAUAUAGACAGGUGGUGCAUGGUUGUCGUCAGCUCGUGUCGUGAGAUGUUGGGUUAAGUCCCGCAACGAGCGCAACCCUUACUGUUAGUUGCUACGCAAGAGCACUCUAGCAGGACUGCCGUUGACAAAACGGAGGAAGGUGGGGAUGACGUCAAAUCAUCAUGCCCCUUAUGACCUGGGCUUCACACGUACUACAAUGGCUGUCAACAGAGGGAUGCAAAGCCGCGAGGUGGAGCGAACCCCUAAAAGCAGUCUUAGUUCGGAUUGUAGGCUGCAACCCGCCUACAUGAAGUCGGAAUUGCUAGUAAUCGCAGAUCAGCAUGCUGCGGUGAAUACGUUCCCGGGCCUUGUACACACCGCCCGUCACGCCAUGGGAGUCGGUAACACCCGAAGCCUGUAGUCUAACCGCAAGGAGGACGCAGUCGAAGGUGGGAUUGAUGACUGGGGUGAAGUCGUAACAAGGUAGCCGUAUCGGAAGGUGCGGCUG
rnacentral:rRNA from 1 species